rnacentral:rRNA from 1 species
UCCUAGUGUAGCGGUGAAAUGCGUAGAUAUUAGGAGGAACACCAGUGGCGAAGGCGACUCUCUGGACUGUAACUGACGCUGAGACACGAAAGCGUGGGGAGCGAACAGGAUUAGAUACCCUGGUAGUCCACGCCGUAAACGAUGAGUACUAGGUGUUGGAGUCGACAGGCUUCAGUGCCGCCGCUAACGCAUUAAGCACUCCGCCUGGGGAGUACGGUCGCAAGACUGAAACUCAAAGGAAUUGACGGGGGCCCGCACAAGCAGCGGAGCAUGUGGUUUAAUUCGACGCAACGCGAAGAACCUUACCAGGUCUUGACAUCCCUCAGACCGUACUGGAGACAGUAUUUUCCCUUCGGGGACUGAGGUGACAGGUGGUGCAUGGUUGUCGUCAGCUCGUGUCGUGAGAUGUUGGGUUAAGUCCCGCAACGAGCGCAACCCUUGCCUUUAGUUGCCAGCAGGUAAUGCUGGGCACUCUAGAGGGACUGCCGGUGACAAACCGGAGGAAGGUGGGGAUGACGUCAAAUCAUCAUGCCCCUUAUGAUCUGGGCUACACACGUGCUACAAUGGUCGGUACAAUGGGCAGCCAACCCGCGAGGGGGAGCGAAUCCCAAUAAGCCGAUCCCAGUUCGGAUUGUAGGCUGCAACUCGCCUACAUGAAGUUGGAGUUGCUAGUAAUCGCGAAUCAGAAUGUCGCGGUGAAUGCGUUCCCGGGCCUUGUACACACCGCCC